CACAUAUCUCAUAACCUUCAUUCAUACAAAGAUGGUCAGAAUUCAAUGUAUUCAAAGAAAAAGAAAAUAAGAAGAUUUUACCCCCCGUUGAGGAAAUUGUUUAUCAUACAACAGAGAAAAAGGGUUGAUCACACGUUGGCAAGAGAUUUUUCUCACUUCUUCCCACUAAAAUUGGUGACUUUUAGUGGCUGUUAUAGAACUUGUAUAAAUGAAUCAACGGCCUGGACGCAUUUCUCCAAGCUCGUACCUCCCAUCAACUCCAAACCCUUCAUUUUACAUUCCUUUUACACCACGCCUCACCAACCAACAUUAUCAAUAAAUGACCCAAAAUUUGGAGGACCAAAUGAAGAUAUUACUAAAAUAUCAUUGUAAAUGCAGUAUGAUGGCUUACAACAACUUAACUUAAGAUCUCCGUGCACUACAUCAUCAUCCAUACACCCAGAUCACAUGGUCAAAUAUAAAGACAACUAGGAAAAACGUAGGAAAGCUUCAUCGUAUUAUUACAUCUGACAGCAUGCAUGAAACAGUUCACAGCCUUUAGAGACAAUACAAGUACAAACCGCAUUCCACGAGAAGCAUAUCUACAACAACCGUUUUCAGAAUCUACACCAACCGUUUUCAGAAUCUACACCAACCGUUUUCAGAAAAACCAGAACAUGUUCACACUGCGGUACCUACGGCCCUCUCCUUCGGCAUACUGUUACAAAGGGUUUUGUGCAUG
rnacentral:lncRNA from 1 species